CUGCCUGUGUCUCUGCCUCUCCCUCUCCCUCUCCCUCACCCUCUCCCUCUCCCUCUCCCUCUCUGUGUGUGUCUCUCAUGAAUAAUAAAUUUUUAAAUCUUUAAAAAAAUAAACUGAGUAAAAGACACCCUUCAUGAGAUAGAGGAAAUUUGUAGUUAAGUAUAGAAAUUUGUCCAGCUUCUAGCUGUUCCUCUCCUAUUUGAACCUGUGCCUUUUUUGGUCACAUUUUUAAAUAAAGGGCUAUUUUAGCUCUUCUAACAUAGUUGAGUUUGAAAUGCACUGAACCUGCUACAAUAUGCAAAGAAAACCUUGGGCAGCAGAGGGAGUUGCAUCCCUGAGACUACUUCAGACUUUCUAGUAAAAGCUUGUUCAGGGCAAAGACCUCCCUGCAGCUUUCUUGGCACCAAAAUAGCUGGGGAGAAGGAUAAAAGCGGGAGCAGUAUAAUCCCUAAGAAAACCUGCUGGCUGCUUUUCCAUUUCCCUGUGCAGCCUUUCUGACCUGGCUGCCCUGUGUAAGCAAAGCUGUGCCUGCUGUGGCUUAUUCUGAAUGGAUCAAGACAUGGAAGGUUCUAUUUUUGACAGAGCAAACGAUGAUUGAAAUAAGGAGGCGUUGCUGUCUGCUUCAUUAAGGUUAUUAAAACAUGCUGCUGGGAAGCUGCUCUUGUUGGCAGCGUUUGAUCCAUUUGAGAGAGAGACCCGAGUGGAGGAGAGGGAGAGAGAAUCUCAAGCAGAUUC